UAGCCGGUUAGGGAUAAGGGGUCGAUUGAGCAAGGGUUAGGGUUAGGGUUAGGGUUUCCUACCUUGAUAGCCGGAGCACCGGAGUCGCCGGCGACGUUGACGAAGCACAGAUCCAGCGAGACCGACUACGGAUCCGGCGAGUUCUAAUGCGGAUCCGGCGAGAUCGACGCGGGGCCGAGACCUGGCGAGGCCGACACGGAGAUGACGAGAAGGACGACGCGAAGCGAGAAUGCGAGAUCAAGAAUAGCCAUAGGUGAUAGGAGUAUACAUGGCCGUGCCGUGUGCAAGUGCCGGCGGAGGCCGGAGGCCACCGGAGGGGGAGGAGAAGGGUAGAAGGGAGGGGAUCCGGGGAGGGAGGCAGAGAGCGAGAGAGCCGGAGAGUCGGAGAGAGAGGAGAGCGACUGAGCGAGCGAAGAGAGAGAGAGGAGCGGCGCAAAUGGGAGCUAGGGUUACCGUCGCCGCGUCGCGCGCCGUCGGCGCCGGCUUAUAUACGCGCC
rnacentral:lncRNA from 1 species